rnacentral:rRNA from 1 species
AUUGAACGCUAGCGGGAUACUUUACACAUGCAAGUCGAACGGCAGCGCGGACUUCGGUCUGGCGGCGAGUGGCGAACGGGUGAGUAAUGUAUCGGAACGUGCCCAGUAGCGGGGGAUAACUACGCGAAAGCGUAGCUAAUACCGCAUACGCCCUACGGGGGAAAGCAGGGGAUCGUAAGACCUUGCACUAUUGGAGCGGCCGAUAUCGGAUUAGCUAGUUGGUGAGGUAACGGCUCACCAAGGCGACGAUCCGUAGCUGGUUUGAGAGGACGACCAGCCACACUGGGACUGAGACACGGCCCAGACUCCUACGGGAGGCAGCAGUGGGGAAUUUUGGACAAUGGGGGCAACCCUGAUCCAGCCAUCCCGCGUGUGCGAUGAAGGCCUUCGGGUUGUAAAGCACUUUUGGCAGGAAAGAAACGUCGCGGGCUAAUACCCCGUGGAACUGACGGUACCUGCAGAAUAAGCACCGGCUAACUACGUG